rnacentral:tRNA from 1 species
UGCGCGAGUGGUGGAACUGGUAGACACGCAGGAUUUAGGUUCCUGUGCCUCACGGCGUGCGGGUUCGAUUCCCGUCUUGCGCACCC